CAUAGCAUGAUCUCGGUCACAUGUAACUGCCGCUUCUCACCAUACGCAUGUCCUUGAUUUGCUACGCGCUGCAGCUGGAGUGCUGUUACCAGAGCACCACUGCCAGACCACUAUUUGGCCACCGCACAUUGUUCCAAACCUCUGCGAAUCAACCAAAAUUCACUAUGAAAUACUUUGCGCACUCAAAUCCAGUGCGUAUAUGGUGAAAUUGCAUAGAAAAAAGCCAAGGAUAGGAAGAAUCAUGCGACCAACAGUAGUAGAUCUCCUUCUUCUUCGGAUGCAUGCAAUCGCAAGAUUCUCCUUCUAGUUUCCAAUUGCACAGAUUGUCAGCCGCCUAGACUCCUCAGUUUGUCGCAAGGAUAGUCGCGCACCAUCACAGACAACCUUGAGUAGGUUAGUGGCACUGCAACCCUCUUAAGGUCUCGUUUUCUCUCUUCACAUAACUCUCUUUCUCUCUCUAUACACAAAUCUCUCUCUCCUCAUGCACAGGAUCUCCAUCCCACAGAACGAACGUAACACCUGCCUAUCACUAUGUUAAAAUGAUCUGAAAACUCUAUUUAUUUGGGUCGUUGGUCACUUUAAACUUAAAUUAAUUUACA
rnacentral:lncRNA from 1 species